AUUGAACGCUGGCGGCAUGCUUUACACAUGCAAGUCGAACGGUAACAGGUUAAGCUGACGAGUGGCGAACGGGUGAGUAAUGCAUCGGAACGUGCCCGGUCGUGGGGGAUAACGCAGCGAAAGCUGCGCUAAUACCGCAUACGAUCUAAGGAUGAAAGCGGGGGACCGUAAGGCCUCGCGCGAUCGGAGCGGCCGAUGUCAGAUUAGGUAGUUGGUGGGGUAAAGGCUCACCAAGCCAACGAUCUGUAGCUGGUCUGAGAGGACGACCGGCCACACUGGGACGGGACCACGGCCCAGACGCCUACGGGAGGAAGCAGUGGGGAAUUUUGGACAAUGGGCGAAAGCCUGAUCCAGCAAUGCCGCGUGCAGGAAGAAGGCCUUCGGGUUGUGAACUGCUUUUGUACGGAGCGAAAAGGUCUCCUCUAAUACAGGGGGCUCAUGACGGUACCGUAAGAAUGAGCACCGGCUAACUACGUGCCAGCAGCCGCCGUAA
rnacentral:rRNA from 1 species